GAAAGCGUGGGAUAGUGGUUUGAGCGUUGGACUGCGACGCUGGAGACUGGGGUUCGAAUCCCCACUCGGCCA